AGAGUUUGAUCCUGGCUCAGAAUCAACGCUGGCGGCGCGCUUAACACAUGCAAGUCGAACGAGAAAGGGGAGCAAUCCCUGAGUAAAGUGGCGUACGGGUGAGUAACACGUGGAUCAUCUACCUUCUGGUGUGGAAUAACCCAGGGAAACCCGGGCUAAUACCGCAUAAGCUCGAGAGAGGAAAGCAGCAAUGCGCCGGA
rnacentral:rRNA from 1 species